UGGGGAAUUUUGGACAAUGGGCGCAAGCCUGAUCCAGCCAUGCCGCGUGCGGGACGAAGGCCUUCGGGUUGUAAACCGCUUUCAGCCGGAAAGAAAUCGCUGUUUUUAAUACAGACAGUGGAUGACGGUACCGGAAGAAGAAGCACCGGCUAACUACGUGCCAGCAGCCGCGGUAAUACGUAGGGUGCGAGCGUUAAUCGGAAUUACUGGGCGUAAAGCGUGCGCAGGCGGUUUUGUAAGCCAGACGUGAAAUCCCCGGGCUUAACCUGGGAACUGCGUUUGGAACUGCAAGACUAGAGUGUGUCAGAGGGAGGUGGAAUUCCACGUGUAGCAGUGAAAUGCGUAGAUAUGUGGAGGAACACCGAUGGCGAAGGCAGCCUCCUGGGAUAACACUGACGCUCAUGCACGAAAGCGUGGGGAGCAAACA
rnacentral:rRNA from 1 species